rnacentral:rRNA from 1 species
AGGACGAACGCUGGCGGCGUGCUUAACACAUGCAAGUCGAGCGGAAAGGCCCUUCGGGGUACUCGAGCGGCGAACGGGUGAGUAACACGUGAGCAACCUGCCCCUGGCUCUGGGAUAGCCUCCGGAAACGGGGAUUAAUACCGGACAUUCACUUCCUUCCGCAUGGUUGGUGGUGGAAAGUUUUUUCGGCCGGGGAGGGGCUCGCGGCCUAUCAGCUUGUUGGCGGGGUAACGGCCCACCAAGGCGACGACGGGUAGCCGGCCUGAGAGGGCGACCGGCCACACUGGGACUGAGACACGGCCCAGACUCCUACGGGAGGCAGCAGUGGGGAAUAUUGCGCAAUGGGCGGAAGCCUGACGCAGCGACGCCGCGUGGGGGAUGAAGGCCUUCGGGUUGUAAACCCCUUUCACCAGGAGCGAAUCCAGACGGUACCUGGGGAAGAAGCGCCGGCUAACUACGUGCCAGCAGCCGC